AACGAACGCUGGCGGCGUGCUUAAAACAUGCAAGUCGAACGGGGGCUUCGGCCCCAGUGGUAAACGGCUGAGUAACGCGUGGGUGACCUACCUGGAAGUGGGGAAUAACUGCCCGAAAGGGUGGCUAAUACCGCAUGUGAUGGCGAGACCGAUCUCGUCAUGAAAGUCUUCGGACGCUUCGAGAGGGGCCCGCGUUCGAUUAGCUAGUUGGUGGGGUAACGGCCUACCAAGGCGACGAUCGAUAGCUGGUCUAAGAGGAUGAUCAGCCAGACUGGGACUGCGACACGGCCCAGACUCCUACGGGAGGCAGCAGUUAGGAAUUUUGGGCAAUGGGCGAAAGCUUGACCCAGCAACGCCGCGUGGGUGAUGAAGGCCUUCGGGUCGUAAAGCCCUUUUUCAGGGGAAGAUGAUGACGGUACCCUGAGAAUAAGCCCCGGCUAACUACGUGCCAGCCGCCGCCGUAA
rnacentral:rRNA from 1 species